GCUACCUGGGGUGGGGGCAGCAGGUGGGGGCGGUGUGCGAGGCGGGCCCGUGACGUCACGGGGCGGAGCGACGAGGGUCUGGGCUGCAGUGGGGAGGGCGGGGCGAAAGAAGUGGGCGGUGACCUGAGGCCAGGGGGCGGAGCUACGUUGGGUUUGUGCCGCGGUGAGGGGAGGGGCCAUAGCGUUCAGGGGUUGGGUAAGUAGGGUCCAGGCUGCCGCGGGGAGGGCAGGGCCUGUCAUGGGGGCGGGACCGCGGUGUGGUGGGCGGGGCAUCACUCCCAUAGACUCGGGGCUCCAACUCUGAUUUCAGGGUUAAGUAUUUCCUCCGCGGUGCCGUCGCAGGGCCUUCGCAAAUGUUCUCACAACCCAGGACUCUGUGCCUCUCCCUUGCUCGUCGCUUCAUCUCCCACAGCAGGUGCCAGGCACCGAGGAAUAACGCCCCCACCCUGGGUUCUCCAAAGCUCUGGCUUCAGACUGUAAUUUUAUUUUUUUUCUUUUGGCUGCGUGGCUAGUGAUAUCUUAGUUCCCUGACCAGGAGUGAACCUGGGCACUUGGCACUGAGAGCUUAGAAUCCUAACCACUGGACUGCCAGGGAAAACCCAACUGGGUCUGUAAUUUUGCAUGUGCUGGUUCUGGCUCCGCCGACUCCCCUGUGUAGCAGGUAGCAUGUCUGCUUCCUGUGCCCAGCACACACCUGGGGCUCCACACUACUGCCAAGCGAUUGGAGGAGUAGCAGUAGGUCUGAAGAUCUGGGAGAAAACACCUUUCUCCUGGUCUGGCUCCCAACUUCACAGGAAGGUGGCACGUUAGGACCCAUCCCAAGACAAUGGGGAGUGUAGGCUGCCCAUCCCACACAGGAAGUUUGGUUUAAUGGUUGUCCAUGUCUCUCUAAGGUGAGAAAGCCUCACUCCAGUUUCUGCUGGGGGUGGCAUGAAAUCUGUCUUCAAAAUCUCUGGAUUCUCUGUCCACCUCUUCUGAGCCUCCCCACACCCUUGUUUCUUGUCAUUUCUUUCUUUAUAACUUUUUAUUAUGGAAGAUUUCCAACAUAUGCAAAAACAGAGUGUUACAAGUAACCUUCAUGUUUCCCCUACCAAGCUUCCCUGGCUCCCCACACACAGCCACAUCUGGUUGUAUUACCCCAAGGCUGUCAUCAAAUCAUUUAUCCCUAAAUUUUGCAGUUACUUUUGACUUGUCCCAAAACCCUCAGGGCUUCUUUCCAUCCCACUUGUUCACAAUCUGAAAUGGGUUUGUGCUGGAGUUGGCCAUUUUCACGGAUCUUCUGUCAGGGUAAUUUCUCCUUAUUCUGACAUCCUCCAGGUUUAGUCUUUUUUUUUUUUUUUUUAAGUCAAACAAUAAUAAGUUAUUUAGAGAACAUUCACACAUCCCAGGCACUCGUGUGAUGUUGUGUGCCUUACUGUUUGCCCAGGUCAUGUUGUCCCCAUUGUACAAAUAAGGUAGUAAGUGACACCCACUGUGUAAAUCCAGGCUUGAUGACUUACAGUUGUACUCUUAACCAUGCCCUGGUAUUUGUCUCUGAGGCAUAGUUAGUGUCCCUUCUGAAGAAGAAUGGCAAGUAGAAUGGAAAGAUGGAUGGUAGGGCAGGGUAUGUGGGAUAAAUGGGGGAAAAGGCAGGUUCUUCUCUGUGUGAACAGAGGGAAAGGAUGCUUAUGUGGAGCCCCAUGAACUCAGGUCAGGGGACCAGUGGCUGCACCUGUCUGUCUGUGCUGUGUGUGUUCCCUUGUGCUUUCCGGUAGGACACUGAUGUGGCCGGCACAGACCUCCAUUGUGGUCUUUGGAUUCACACCUCACCUCCCAUCGUCCCCUUUAGAUGUUCUGCAGACAUCUCAGACUUGGUGUGUCCAAGCUUCAGCUGUCUUCUGCCUCCUCCAGCCCUCCCUGACUGUUGAGGGAGCUCCACUCUCCUGUCACUAAGGCCAGCAGCCUGGAAGCACCCAUGACCUUUGUCUCUCACACACCACAUGCAGAGCCUGCCUGUCUGGACGCAGUAGCCACAGGGAUCCUGUCAGGUCCACGUCUGCUGUCAACCCUGCUUCCUUAAUAGCCCCCGAGGGCCUGGGUCAUGUUGCUCAUCUGCUGGAGCCACAGGCCAGAAACACAGAUCUCCCGCUAACCCCUCUGCCUGGGGAUGCUGUUCCCCCUCUGUUCCCCCAUCGCACACUUCUCAGGCUUUGCUCAGAUGUUGCCUUCUGAGUCUUGCUCAUCCUUCCCAAUUUAAAAUUACACCCCACUCCCACUCCCGUCCCCGUUCUUCUGGUCUUUGUCCUUUUCCCAUGGAGGUUUAUCACAGAGGAAACCAGCCAAGUUACCUCCAUGUUCUUUUUAUCUUGUGCUGCUUGCCUCCCUCUGCCUUGUGAGAAUGGAGACUUCAUUGUUCCCCAGUGUGUCCCCACCCCUGGAGUGGCAUCUGCCCCCAUGGGUGUGCAGGGAGGUUCUCUGAGGCCAGCCUGUGAGAGCCUGCACCUAGCUUUGCAGUCAGAAGGACCCAGAUUUGCAUCAUGGCUCCACCUGUCCUUACCUGUGAGAACUCAGACGACAUUCGUAACAUAUGUGAACGUAUGUGUCAGUUCCCCUGCUUCCUGCCCCAUGGGGUUGUCACAAGGGAUCAGUGAACUCCAUGCCAGGCACACAGCACUCAGCAGAUGUUGGUAUUAAAUGAUGUUACCGACCAAGAAAGGGUGUAAUAGGACUUAAGUGGUUCCCCCACCAUCCCUGCGAGUGGGAAGAUCUCUAGGGUGUCAGUGACUGGGGCUGUCCUCUUUUCUGGCUCUUGGCUGAGUUUCCUUGGCCUUAGAUUAGAAAUCAUCUGUCCUACCUCAUUCCGAGUGGUUUUUGAAAAUCCAUUUUAUUGAAAUAUAAUUUAUAUGAUAAACAUGCCUGUUUUGAGGGUAUAGUUUGAAUUUUGCAGCAUAACGUACUGCACAACUGUUAAAUAGUGUUGUGAAAUAGAACUUACUAGUGUUUUGGGGUCAGGGACCACUUUGACAAUCUGAUUAAAACUACAGAAACUUUUGAAAACUGUCAGGUUUUACUCUAGACCAUUGAAAAGUUUUAGCAAGAAGACCAUUUUGUUCCAGAGAAUUGCAUGAGUCUGUCUCUCUGUUUUCAUGUACAAUGCAGUAACCGGUCUCUGAAAGAAACCUCAAUUAUAAAGGAAAUCUAAAAUUAUGUAAUUAAAUAAAAACAAACUUCUUUCAAAAUAA